rnacentral:rRNA from 1 species
UGCAAGUCGAACGAUGAACCACUUCGGUGGGGAUUAGUGGCGAACGGGUGAGUAACACGUGGGCAAUCUGCCCUGCACUCUGGGACAAGCCCUGGAAACGGGGUCUAAUACCGGAUACUGACCACCGCAGGCAUCUGUGGUGUUCGAAAGCUCCGGCGGUGCAGGAUGAGCCCGCGGCCUAUCAGCUUGUUGGUGAGGUAAUGGCUCACCAAGGCGACGACGGGUAGCCGGCCUGAGAGGGCGACCGGCCACACUGGGACUGAGACACGGCCCAGACUCCUACGGGAGGCAGCAGUGGGGAAUAUUGCACAAUGGGCGAAAGCCUGAUGCAGCGACGCCGCGUGAGGGAUGACGGCCUUCGGGUUGUAAACCUCUUUCAGCAGGGAAGAAGCGAAAGUGACGGUACCUGCAGAAGAAGCGCCGGCUAACUACGUGCCAGCAGCCGCGGUAAUACGUAGGGCGCGAGCGUUGUCCGGAAUUAUUGGGCGUAAAGAGCUCGUAGGCGGCUUGUCACGUCGGUUGUGAAAGCCCGGGGCUUAACCCCGGGUCUGCAGUCGAUACGGGCAGGCUAGAGUUCGGUAGGGGAGAUCGGAAUUCCUGGUGUAGCGGUGAAAUGCGCAGAUAUCAGGAGGAACACCGGUGGCGAAGGCGGAUCUCUGGGCCGAUACUGACGCUGAGGAGCGAAAGCGUGGGGAGCGAACAGGAUUAGAUACCCUGGUAGUCCACGCCGUAAACGGUGGGCACUAGGUGUGGGCAACAUUCCACGUUGUCCGUGCCGCAGCUAACGCAUUAAGUGCCCC